AGUAACAAAAGUAAGUAAGUAAGAUCACAGUUCCUUCCUAACUGACAACUACACAUAACAAAAAAUCAUAAAUCAUAUAUGCUAAUGACUUCAACCAUUCAAAGCUCCGGUGAGUUGAAAAGAAGAUGCAAGCCAAAAAAAUCAACACCUAAGUGUGUAUAACAAUGCAUUUACAAAAACACAUAAAAGCGACAAUAAACAUAAUAUUGAAUAUAUUUGAGCAAUAUAAUUUCCACAUGCUAUGUUAUUUUAAAUAAAAAAAAUAUUAUCUUGACUCUAUCUUAGUAGUUUUUUGAGAAAUGUCGUAUCCCGUACCGGUAUCGGGUACCGUACACAUACCUAUGCAAUGUAGGUAAGAAUAGAAAGCAUGUGCUGUUUGCAUAAUAAUACAUAUAAUAGUUCAGACCAUGAUAAGCAUGUGAUGCUUUGCAUCAUAGCUUAAAUCUCACUAAAAUAAUUUAAAAGAUGCUACACAUCUGUCUGUCUUUUUGUUUUACACGUUAAAUAAAUAAAUUGAGUUUUGCUAUACUCACUUUCAUUUUGUUGUGAUUUCUUCUAAACCUAUAUUCUUGUUGUUGUUCUUGUUACAAACAAAGAUCUACGAAUGGCGGCUCUUAGGAAGGUGUCAGUGUUGUUAGAGAAGCUUGAUUCUGGUGAGUUUGUGGACAACUUCCGGAGCAUGAAGCUUGACUUUUCAGUCUUGAAAAAGCUGAAGAAAUCAUUGCUGAGGGUUCCAAAUGUACUUGAUGAUGAUGAGGAGAAACAGAUCAUAAAUUCUAUUGUCAUAGAAUUGCUGGAUGGGCUGAGAUUUGCUGUCUAUGAAGUUCACAAUUUCGUUGAUGAAAUCAACACUGAGGCGUUGCGCUGCAAAGUGGAAACUCCUGCUUCUAAGGUGCUGAAAUAUCUUUCUUCUCCUUUCAACCCGUUUAAUGAAGCGAUUAACUGUAAAUUGCUAAAAUUAACUCAAAGAUUAGAACGCUUGACUUCCAGCAAUGUUUUGCGUGGAACUCGUAGAAGUUCUCCUUUGGUUGAUGAAUCUUCUAUUUAUGGAAGAGACAGUGAUAAAGAGAAACUUAAACAUCUUUUGUUGUCUAGUGAUUGUGAUGAUAGUCAAAUACGAAUUAUUUCAAUCGUGGGUAUUGAAGGGAUUGGUAAAACUACCUUUGCAGAACUCCUUUAUAACGAUCCUGAAGUAAAUGACAAAUUUGAGUUCAAACUAUGGGAGUAUAUCUCAACUGAUUUUGGUAUUUUAAAGUUUUGUGAAACCAUUCUUGAAUAUAUUACUUCACAAACAAUUAGUUGUGACAAUAUGAAACCAAUUUUUUUGUUAGUAUUGGAUGGGGCCUUGGGUGUAUGUUCUGUCGACUGGAUAUUAUUGACAGAUAUCUUACAUGCUGGGAAAAAGGGAAGUAGGAUCAUCAUCACAACACGAGAUGAAAGAGUUCCAAAAUCCAUGCAAACCUUUUUUUAUGUCCACUAUUUGAAACCUCUGGAAAGCGAAGAUUGUUGGUCUUUAGUUGCCAGGCAUGCAUUUGGAGCAUGUAAUGACAAACAACGAUCCAAUCUAGAAGAAAUUGGCAGGGAAAUUGCAAAAAAAUGUUACGGUAUACCAUUAGCUGCAGUAUCAAUUGCGGCUUUUCUUCGCAUUGAAUUGUCCCCAUAUUACUGGAAUAAUGUGCUAAUGCGUGACAUUUGGGAAUCAAUAGGUUAUGACGUGCAACCUGCUCUACAACUGAACUACCACUAUCUUUCUCCUCCUUUAAAACGGUGCUUUGCAUAUUGCUCAAUUUUUCCGAAGAACUCCAUCUUAGAAAAAAAUGUGAUAGUUCAGCUGUGGAUUGCAGAAGGCUUAGUAGAAUCGUCCAUAGAUCAGGAAAAAGUCGGAAAAGAAUACUUUGAUAUACUAGUAUCAUGGUCGUUGAUACAUCGACGGUCUAUUGGUGAAGAAAACUUUGAAAUGCAAAACCUUAUCCAUGAUUUAGCUACAAUGGUUUCAUCUUCAUACUGUAUCAGGUUGGACGAACAUAACCUACAUAAAGGGGUACAUAAUUUGUCAUACACUAGAGGGAUAUAUGAUUCACAUGAUAAAUUUGAUAUGUUGUAUAGAUUAAAAGGUUUACGUACCUUUCUAGCACUACCGUUACAAGAACAAUCGCCUCUUUGUUUACUAUCAAACAAGACCGUACAUGACCUGCUACCAGAAAUGAAACAGUUGCGUGUGUUGUCUUUGUCAAACUACAAGAGUAUCACCGAGGUUCCCAAAUCUAUUGGAAAUUUGUUAUACCUCCGGUACUUAAAUCUUUCUCACACUAAUAUUGAAAGAUUGCCUUAUGAAACAUGCAAGCUUUACAAUCUGCAGUUCUUGUUAUUGGCAGGCUGUAGAAGGCUCGUUGAAUUGCCCGAGGACAUAGGAGAAUUGGUCAAUCUACAGUGCCUUGACAUUAGUGACACUGCAUUGGGGGAGAUGCCCGCACAAAUAGCCAAAUUAGAAAAUCUCCACACUUUGUCCAACUUUGUUGUCAGUAAACGUAAUGGUGGAUUGAUGGUAGCCGAACUAGGAAAAUUUCCCCACCUACAUGGAAAACUUUCAAUCUCACAACUACAAAAUGUUAAUGACCCCUCUGAAGCUUUUCAAGCCAAUUUGAAGAUGAAAGAACAAAUAGACAAGUUAGCUUUAGAAUGGGAGUGUGGUAGUACUUUUUCAGAUUCACAAGUUCAAAGGGCUGUACUUGAAAAUUUGCGACCCUCAACAAAUUUGAAAAGUCUCACCAUCAAAGGCUAUGGUGGAUACAGCAUUCCAAAUUGGUUGGGUGAUUUUUUAUUUGGCAACAUGGUGUAUUUAAGGAUCUCGAAUUUCGAUAAGUGUAUAUGGCUUCCACCCCUUGGACAAUUGGGAAAUUUGAAAGAACUCAUUAUUGAUUCGAUGCUUUCAAUAAAGAGUGUUGGCACAGAGUUCUACGGAAGUGAUAGUUCUCCUUCAUUUCAACCAUUUCCCUCCUUGGAGACUCUACACUUUGAGGAUAUGCCAGAAUGGGAGGAAUGGAACUUCAUUGGAGGUACAACGACAAAUUUUCCUAGUCUAAAAAGUCUGUUACUAAGUAAGUGCCCGAAACUGAGAGGAGACAUACCUGACAAUCUUCCUUCCUUAACUGAACUUGAGUUAAGAGGAUAUCCUUUUUCGGUGGAAUCAAGACAUUUAGAUGAUAAUAGCAAUUUCAUAAUGAUAAUUCCAUUCUCACAUGUUAUCAGCCAAUUGAUGCUCCCUCUCUAUUCUCUUCGACAGUUUACCAUAGAUGACUUUCCAUUUCUAACGUCUUUCCCAACAGACGGUCUACCAAAAACCUUGAAAUUUCUCAAAAUUAGUAAUUGUGAGAAUUUGGAAUUCCUUCCUCGUGAAUACUUUCACAGUUACACAUUCCUCGAGGAAUUGAAAAUAUCUUAUAGCUGUAAUUCAAUGAUUUCAUUUACCUUGGGUGCUCUCCCUGUCCUCAAGAGUUUGUUCAUUGAGGGAUGUAAAAAUCUGAAAUCAAUAGUACUUGCAGAAAGAGCAUCCGAAAAGAGUCUCUCGUUUCUUAGAAGCAUCAAAAUAUGGGAUUGUAAUGAGUUGGAGUCAUUUCCCCCAGGUGGAUUGCUCGCUCCAAACCUUGUUUAUAUUGCAGUGUGGAAGUGUGGGAAGCUUCGUUCGCUACCUGAAAGAAUGAACGCUCUUACUGGCCUUCUAGAAAUGGAAAUUGAUAAUCUACCAAAUCUUCAAUCUUUUGUCAUAGAUGAUUUUCCUAUCAGUUUACAGAAAUUGACUGUUGGCUAUGUUGGAGGGAUUAUGUGGAAUACUGAGCAAACUUGGGAACAUCUCACUUGUCUUUCAGUGUUGCGAAUUAAUGGCAAUGAUAUGGUGAACACACUGAUGGGGCCACUUCUACCUAAAUCGCUUGAAACACUAUGCAUCUGUGGUCUUAAUGAUAAAAGCAUUGAUGAGAAGUGGUUUGAACAUCUCACCUCUCUCCAAAACCUUGAGAUUGUGAACGCUCCCAAACUUAAGUCGUUGCCGAAAAAGGGAUUGCCUUCCUGGCUUUCAGUUAUAAAUAUGACUUGCUGUCCAUUACUGAAAGCAAAAUUGCAAAGGAAGCGAGGGAAAGAAUGGCGUAAGAUUGCUCAUAUUCCCUCCAUAAUUAUCGAUGACGAAUUGAUCACAUGAGUAUCUUGUCCGGAAUUAUAUUCUGUGUCAUCCCUGCUUUUGUCCAACCUUGCUGUUGUGAGAAGCCAAGUUCUUGUGUACAGCCUUCCCCCUAGUCCAUUAUUAAAUGUUGGGUUAAUAGGCUUUUACCCCCUGCCAUAUAAGCGAAAUAUGGUUUACCCCCUGUAAAAAAAAAACUUUGGAGAUCGCCCUUGUAAUUUAAAGAUUAUUUGGUUUUUGACCCUCAAUGCAUAUGACUAUGCAGAAAUUUAUGGAUUAAUAGGCUUUUACCCCCUGCCAUAUAGGCGAAAUUUGGUUUACCCCCUGCCACAUGAGCGAAAAUGCACAGUCAUAUGCCCUGAGGGUCCAAAACCAAAGAAUCUUUAAAUUCAAGGGGGAUCUCCAAACUUUUUUUGUACAAGGGGUAAACCAUAUUUCGUCUAUAUGACAGGGGGUAAAAGCCUAUUAACUCUUAAAUGUUUACUAAUGACGAACAAAUGAAAAGGAGAAGCAACAACUAACUGUUAGAUUUUAUGUCUUGCUCUUUGUUUACCACUUCAAGUGUAAUUGAUGGCAGAUUUGUAUCUGCUGCUCAACUCUUGGUAGAUCUUCCAACGGUUUUCUGCACUAAUCUGAAUGAUUUCCGGCGAAUAUCCAGGUCUUCGUAGAGAAAUCGUAGGCAAUUGUCAUGGAACAUUCAUCCUAUAUUUCACAAAUUCAGAAAAUGAUCAUCCAAAAAACGAAAGAACAAGAGUUUAGUUGAGUAUUGCAAAAAUUAAUUGCAGAAGCAUAUUCUUUUCAUUGAUUCCAAAAAAUUCAUUGAAGUGUAAAGAGGACAUGAAUUUAAUUAUAGUAACAAUAUGUCACAUACAAUCAUUGCAUAACAAUAUUGUUUUUGUA